UACGUAGGGUCCGAGCGUUGUCCGGAAUUACUGGGCGUAAAGAGCUCGUAGGUGGUUUGUCGCGUUGUUCGUGAAAACUCACAGCUCAACUGUGGGCGUGCGGGCGAUACGGGCAGACUUGAGUACUGCAGGGGAGACUGGAAUUCCUGGUGUAGCGGUGGAAUGCGCAGAUAUCAGGAGGAACACCGGUGGCGAAGGCGGGUCUCUGGGCAGUAACUGACGCUGGAGGAGCGAAAAGCGUGGGGGAGCGAACAGG
rnacentral:rRNA from 1 species